CGCCUGCCACAUGUGUGAACAAAGCUCACUCAUAUCCGGGCGGGAUUUUGAUGCGCUGUACAAAGGAGGAAACAGUGCUGGGGUCCAGACCCAGGGGAACUGAGUCUUCACCCUCUACUUUUUCCACUGUGCCAGGCUGCCUUCCACUGAACGCGUGAAAAGUUUGGCCUGCAAGUCGGUGGAUGUGGCUGAAAGAAUACAUCCAUUAUUCUCAAAGGAGGCAAGGAAGGUGGCGUGAUGCAGACACGAAAACAUAUUCUUGGAAGAAAAUUAACGUGCCGGCUGAAUUAGUCGCUCUGUUGGUAUUCACUGAGCCAGAGAAAGAAAAAAACAAGGAAGCCAACAAUACAAACAAGGAAGCCAGCCAUAAGAAAGGCAAAGGUGACUUUACGAACCGGUCCUCCCCAUGCGUGUGUUAGUUCUGGAUUAUUAAAUCAAUAUAGAUUUUACACUGGCCCCCUGAAACGCCAACAAUGUGACAUUGAGAAGUCAUGCUUCAUGCUACCGACUGUGGAAGGAAGGAUACAACAUAACUCCAAGUCUGGCACCUUGGCAUCGUUGGAAAGUCAACAUCUGUCAUCCUUUGACGUUUGCUACCCAUCCAACAGAAUUCUCUGCCUUCUCCCAAAUGUGAUUGUGUGCUAUUUUGUCACCAAAGGAAGGAUCCAGUUGAGAUGUGAAGGAGGCAAAGCCAGGAGAAUUGCAGGG
rnacentral:lncRNA from 1 species